rnacentral:rRNA from 1 species
GACGAACGCUGGCGGCGUGCUUAACACAUGCAAGUCGAACGGAAAGGCCCUGCUUUUGUGGGGUGCUCGAGUGGCGAACGGGUGAGUAACACGUGAGUAACCUGCCCUUGACUUUGGGAUAACUUCAGGAAACUGGGGCUAAUACCGGAUAGGAGCUCCUGCUGCAUGGUGGGGGUUGGAAAGUUUCGGCGGUUGGGGAUGGACUCGCGGCUUAUCAGCUUGUUGGUGGGGUAGUGGCUUACCAAGGCUUUGACGGGUAGCCGGCCUGAGAGGGUGACCGGCCACAUUGGGACUGAGAUACGGCCCAGACUCCUACGGGAGGCAGCAGUGGGGAAUAUUGCACAAUGGGCGGAAGCCUGAUGCAGCAACGCCGCGUGCGGGAUGACGGCCUUCGGGUUGUAAACCGCUUUCGCCUGUGACGAAGCGUGAGUGACGGUAAUGGGUAAAGAAGCACCGGCUAACUACGUGCCAGCAGCCGCGGUGAUACGUAGGGUGCGAGCGUUGUCCGGAUUUAUUGGGCGUAAAGGGCUCGUAGGUGGUUGAUCGCGUCGGAAGUGUAAUCUUGGGGCUUAACCCUGAGCGUGCUUUCGAUACGGGUUGACUUGAGGAAGGUAGGGGAGAAUGGAAUUCCUGGUGGAGCGGUGGAAUGCGCAGAUAUCAGGAGGAACACCAGUGGCGAAGGCGGUUCUCUGGGCCUUUCCUGACGCUGAGGAGCGAAAGCGUGGGGAGCGAACAGGCUUAGAUACCCUGGUAGUCCACGCUGUAAACGGUGGGUACUAGGUGUGGGGUCCAUUCCACGGGUUCCGUGCCGUAGCUAACGCUUUAAGUACCCCGCCUGGGGAGUACGGCCGCAAGGCUAAAACUCAAAGGAAUUGACGGGGCCCCGCACAAGCGGCGGAGCAUGCGGAUUAAUUCGAUGCAACGCGUAGAACCUUACCUGGGUUUGACAUGGAUCGGGAGUGCUCAGAGAUGGGUGUGCCUCUUUUGGGGUCGGUUCACAGGUGGUGCAUGGCUGUCGUCAGCUCGUGUCGUGAGAUGUUGGGUUAAGUCCCGCAACGAGCGCAACCCUUGUUCACUGUUGCCAGCACGUUAUGGUGGGGACUCAGUGGAGACCGCCGGGGUCAACUCGGAGGAAGGUGGGGAUGACGUCAAGUCAUCAUGCCCCUUAUGUCCAGGGCUUCACGCAUGCUACAAUGGCUGGUACAGAGAGUGGCGAGCCUGUGAGGGUGAGCGAAUCUCGGAAAGCCGGUCUCAGUUCAGAUUGGGGUCUGCAACUCGACCUCAUGAAGUCGGAGUCGCUAGUAAUCGCAGAUCAGCAACGCUGCGGUGAAUACGUUCCCGGG